CGCCCAGGGUAGCGAGAUGGUAACUUGCAAGUCCGAGUUCUACCAUGAUGAGUUUAAAAGAAUCUACCUGCUUUUCUUCAGUUUCCAGAGCACUCAGGUAGUUGUAUUUUGUCCAGAGUUUACAGCUGACACUUGCAGCAACUGAGGAGCCAUUUGUUAAGAGUUUCUUCUGCCAUACUGGAAGCAGAUGCCUCACUACAGCUUUCUUUUUCUUUCCUCCUC
rnacentral:sRNA from 1 species